GGCAGCAUGGCCAAGUGGUAAGGCAGAGGUCUGCAAAACCUCCAUCCCCAGUUCAAAUCUGGGUGCUGCCU
rnacentral:tRNA from 1 species